UACGUAGGGUGCGAGCGUUGUCCGGAAUUAUUGGGCGUAAAGAGCUCGUAGGCGGCUUGUCGCGUCGGAUGUGAAAGCCCGGGGCUUAACCCCGGGUCUGCAUUCGAUACGGGCAGACUAGAGUUCGGUAGGGGAGUCUGGAAUUCCUGGUGUAGCGGUGAAAUGCGCAGAUAUCAGGAGGAACACCGGUGGCGAAGGCGGGACUCUGGGCCGAUACUGACGCUGAGGAGCGAAAGCGUGGGGAGCGAACAGG
rnacentral:rRNA from 1 species